rnacentral:rRNA from 1 species
CCCAAUCGCUGGCUGGCAUGUCUAAUACAUGCAAUUGUCGAACAGAAGAUCAUUCGGAUCUACGUGGCGCAUCGGGUGCGUAACGCGUGGGAAUCUUGCCCUUGGGUUCGGAAUAACUUCUGUGAAACGGAAGCUAAUGACGGAUGAUGACGUAAGUCCAAAGAUUUAUCGCCCAAGGAUGAGCCCGCGUAGGAUUAGGUAGUUGGUGAGGUAAAGGCUCACCAAGCCGACGAUCCUUAGCUGGUCUGAGAGGAUGAUCAGCCACACUGGGACUGAGACACGGCCCAGACUCCUACGGGAGGCAGCAGUAGGGAAUAUUGGACAAUGGGCGAAAGCCUGAUCCAGCAAUGCCGCGUGAGUGAUGAAGGCCUUAGGGUUGUAAAGCUCUUUUACCCGGGAUGAUAAUGACAGUACCGGGAGAAUAAGCUCCGGCUAACUCCGUGCCAGCAGCCGCGGUAAUACGGAGGGAGUUAGCGUUGUUCGGAAUUACUGGGCGUAAAGCGCACGUAGGCGGCUAUUCAAGUCAGAGGUGAAAGCCCGGGGCUCAACCCCGGAACUGCCUUUGAAACUAGAUAGCUUGAAUCCAGGAGAGGUGAGUGGAAUUCCGAGUGUAGAGGUGAAAUUCGUAGAUAUUCGGAAGAACACAGUGGCGAAGCGGCUCCUGGACUGGUUUGACGCUGAGGUGCGCCCAC